AUUGAACGCUGGCGGCAGGCCUAACACAUGCAAGUCGAACGAGUGGCGAACGGGUGAGUAAUGUGUAGGAAACUGGCCGUUGGCGGGGGAUAAAGCCUGGAAAAGGUGGCUAAAUACGGGUACUAUCGGAUGUGCUCGGAGGGGAUUAGCUCGUAGGUGGGGUAAUGGCUCACUUAGGCGACGAUCACUAUCUGGGCUGAGAGGAUGACCAGCCACACUGGAACGGGGACCCGGUCCAGACUCCUACGGGAGGCCGCAGUGGGGAAUAUUGCACAAUGGGGGCAAGCCUGGUGCAGCCAUGCCGCGUGUAGGAACAAGGCCUUCGGGUUGUAAAGUACUUUCAGCGAGGAGGCGUUACUCGUAGAAGAAGCACCGGCUAACUCCGUGCCAGCAGCCGCGGUAAUAC
rnacentral:rRNA from 1 species